rnacentral:rRNA from 1 species
ACGGCCUAAAGCGUGAUUAAAUUAUAUUAAAUUAAAUAGAAAUAAAAAUUAACUUAACUGUCGCACGUAUUUGUUAAACGGAGAACCAAAAACCGAAAGAUAUUCUAAUAAAUAAAUUACUUGAAUUCACGAAAGCUAAGAAACAAACUAGGAUUAGAUACCCUACUAUGCUUAGCCUUAAACUUUGGAGCCUACCCGCCUGAGUACUACGAGCCACAGCUUAAAACUCAAAGGACUUGGCGGUGCUCUACUCCCCCUAGAGGAGCCUGUUCUAUAAUCGAUAACCCCCGCUAAACCUCACCACUUAUUGCUAAUACCGCUUAUAUACCGCCGUCGUCAGCUCACCAUUUAAAUGAAUAAUAGUAAGCAUAAUGAUAAACAUAAAAACGUCAGGUCAAGGUGUAGCGGAUUAAGUGGAAAGAAAUGGGCUACAUUUUCUAAAUCAGAAAAAUACGAAAAAUUUAAUGAAAAACUAUUUAAAGGUGGAUUUAGCAGUAAAAAGAAAACAGAGUGUUCUUUUUAAAUCGGCCCUAGAGCGCGCACACACCGCCCGUCACCCUCCUCAGAAAAACAGUUAAUUAUAUAAUAAAAGAAAAUAAAAUAAAAGAAGAGGAAAGUCGUAACAUGGUAAGUUUACCGGAAGGUGUACUUGGAUUAC